GCUACUUUUCUCCAGAACAUAGGGCCCUUCCUUCGCGCAUCAUGCGACAUUUCUCCUGAAAAUAUACAGCUCUUCCUUGCAAAAUACCACUUUUCUCCCAAAGACAUGACCAUUUUUCUUCCCACACCAUACCACUCUUCUCCAAAACUACGAUCUCUCCUCUCAAAAACGCCACUUUUCUCCCAAAAAUACGACUGUUUCUUCCCCUCAGGACCUCUUUUCUCCUCCAUAGAUGAGACUUUCUCGACCCAAAUCUCACUUUCGUCAAGAAAAGA
rnacentral:lncRNA from 1 species